rnacentral:lncRNA from 13 species
CCCCUCACCUCCUCAUCCGUCAUGGGCUCUAGGCUUGCCUUCCUUAUCCAAAGCCCUCACAGUCUCCUUGGUCACUCACAGAUCGACUCCUACUUUCAAAUGCCUAUCAGUGAGCUGGGAUGACAAAUUUGCCUGUGAUCAUGUGCUGAAGCGAUAUGCAUUUUAGCUGAAGCCUCUUGGAAUCCGCUCUCGUGGCACUGCCGAAGCCUGCAGUGACUUCGAGGGCGGAAUCUCAGGAUGAAGCUGUGUUGUUACCUGGAAAGACAGGAACACUGGGGAACACAGGCUUCCUCAGAUCAGGAAAACCUCCUCUUUCUUUUGUCUUUUAAGUGAAUCAGACCCUGAGGAAAUGAACAUGCAUGAGGAAAUUCCUGCCAUCUUCUCCCCUGUACCAUUUCAUUGUCCAUGGGACUGACACCGCUGGUCCCUAGUCCCAGAACCCACACACACAAGCAAGGUGGAGUCUGCGGAGUGUUGGAAGGUUUGCAUCUCCCAGAUAAACAGCCCGGAUGAGACUGCAGCAAAAGCCUAA